rnacentral:rRNA from 1 species
GUCCACGCCGUAAACGAUGAUAGCUCGUUGUCUGCGAUAUACAGUAGGUGACUAAGGGAAACCGAUAAGCUAUCCACCUGGGGAGUACGUUCGCAAGAAUGAAACUCAAAGGAAUUGACGGGGGCCCGCACAAGCGGAGGAACAUGUGGUUUAAUUCGAUGAUACGCGAGGAACCUUACCCGGGCUUGAAAGUUAGUGACGGAUGUGGAAACAUGUCUUCUCUUCGGAGCACGAAACUAGGUGCUGCAUGGUUGUCGU